rnacentral:sRNA from 1 species
CGUUAUUUACAACAUAGUUAUGCUUUAAGAUCUAUUGCUACAUUUACCUCAAACGUUUUUGUCAUUAAGUCUUUGCGUGUUGCCCAAAUAAUUAAUCAGAUUCGCAGGCAUUAUUACUCAUCACAUUAUGUGUUGAGCGUUAGUUAUAUAUAUAUGUUUUUUGGAGACUUAAAUGUCAAAAACAACUGGUACCGUUAAGUGGUUUAACGAAGAUAAAGGUUUUGGUUUCAUUACACCUGCAGACAGCAGCAAGGACGUGUUUGUACACUUCCGCGCAAUCUCUGGUGACGGAUUCAAAACACUGGUAGAAGGCCAAUCUGUUUCUUUUGAAGUAGAACAAGGUCAAAAAGGUCCUCAGGCCGUUAACGUAGUUCCCCAGUAAAUUCUGACAGGCUUGUUUACAGGCCAAAUGACGAAUUCUUUAAAAGCCGCUGAUUUCAGCGGCUUUUUUG